GACGAACGCUGGCGGCGUGCCUAAUACAUGCAAGUCGAACGAGAGCGACCGGUGCUUGCACUGGUCAAUCUAGUGGCGAACGGGUGAGUAACACGUGGGUAACCUGCCCAUCAGAGGGGGAUAACAUUCGGAAACGGAUGCUAAAACCGCAUAGGUCUUCGAACCGCAUGGUUUGAAGAGGAAAAGAGGCGCAAGCUUCUGCUGAUGGAUGCACCCGCGGUGCAUUAGCUAGUUGGUGAGGUAACGGCUCACCAAGGCCGUGAUGCAUAGCCGACCUGAGAGGGUGAUCGGCCACAUUGGGACUGAGACACGGCCCAAACUCCUACGGGAGGCAGCAGUAGGGAAUCUUCCGCAAUGGACGCAAGUCUGACGGAGCAACGCCGCGUGAGUGAAGAAGGUUUUCGGAUCGUAAAACUCUGUUGUUAGAGAAGAAUAAGUGCUAGAGUAACUGUUAGCGCCUUGACGGUAUCUAACCAGAAAGCCACGGCUAACUACGUG
rnacentral:rRNA from 1 species